CUGCAUUCACCUGUUGCAGACUGUCCAUCCAUUAUCUUUCGGGCCAUUGUUCUUAUCCACGAAUUCCCCAAAUAAUUCCAUAACAGUCACUGUGCACAACGCAGCGUAGGAAUUUCACGGCGGCCACGGCCGUCGUUGCCCUUCGCUCUGGCCGUGAUGCCCCUCAAAUCAUUGUACUCCCUACACGGCCAACAUGGCCUUUGUGCCCAUGCCACAGUGAAAAACUCGCGGUCAGCAGUUUGUUCGAAAGUUUGUUUGUAGUUCGCAAUUGAGAACAGCCACAAGAACCGACUACUUCCAGAAAUUACUCUGAAACAACAUGAGGGCAACUGCUGCUUCAGAAAGAUGUCAAACUACGAAGACACUGAGCCCAGACACAGACAGCUGCACACGGAGCAAAAAGACCACAGCUCGGUGUUGGGCGACAUGCUUUUGCACUUCCAGUUCCAGCCUCCUAUCAGGCUGCCCGGGUGGACAUGGAGAGGAGAGGCUGAUCAGCCCAGAGCCGAGGCGACAGCCUGCCAAACAGCAGCCGUGCUGCAGCCCCUUAGUUCUGAUAGCACCAGGCAUGCUGCCCCAUUGACACAUGGGCCAAGCACGCUUUAAUGAAUAAAUA
ensembl:lncRNA